rnacentral:lncRNA from 1 species
UAUUUUAUUCUCAGAACUGAGUGGAAAUAAGACAUAUAGGAGACCAACAAAAGGGAUCAAGAUGUCAGAUUUGAUAAGCAAUUGAUAAAGAGAUUUAGAAGUGUGGCUUUAGACCUGUGGCUCAAAUAGUGGUUUGAAAGCAGAAUCAAGGAUUAAUCAAAGUGACUUCAUCAUCUCCGUAUCAGAGACCGUUUAUAAUACUGUCCAAAGGGCUGAAUGCUUGUUAUAUGGAGGCAGAUAAUUUGAUGGAGCUACAUCUAACUUGACGUAGAGACCACAGUGUGUCACCAGAGAUUCUGGCCUCCUGAGCUGGAUGCAGAAACUGAGAGAACUUGGAGUUGACUCCCAUGGGGAGUGGGGUGUUAGCCAGGAUGGUCUCGAUCUUCUCAUCUGCCCGCCUGGGCCUCCCAAAGUGCGGGGAUUACAGGCGUGAACCACCGUGCCCAGCCACUCUUUAAGAACUGUAGCAGUCACCGCGAGGGUCCGCGGCUUCAUUCUGGAAGCCAUUGAGACUGAGAACCCGCCAAUUCCGGACACAAUUUCAUAGUACAUCAGUAUGGUCCAAUACAGGUACCUCCUCAGGAAACUCUGAAAAAGAAGAAGUAGAAAUAGUAUGAGACAAGAAACAGUCAUAUUCCAAAGGU